GUAUCAUUCCUGGGGGAAGUGGCGCGGAAGGAAGGUUACCAGGUCAUGAUAGAGCCUAAGGUGUCAACCCCGGUCGGCGCGCUCAAGCCCGACCUCCUUCUCAUCAAAGCCGACACUGCAUUCAUUGUGGAUGUAGGCAUUGCGUGGGAAGGUGGACGCCCACUAAAGCUGGUCAACAAAAUGAAAUGUGACAAGUACAAGAUUGCCAUCCCGGCAAUUUUGGAAACAUUUCACGUUGGCCAUGCUGAGACGUACGGCGUUAUUCUGGGCAGCCGCGGAUGCUGGCUCAAGAGCAACGACAAGGCGUUGGCAUCAAUUGGGCUCAAUAUCACACGGAAGAUGAAAGAACACCUGAGCUGGUUGACGUUUGAAAACACCAUCCGAAUUUAUAACUCAUUCAUGAAGAACUGAGGUUUUUGUUUUCUUUUACCUUUUACCAUUUUUUAUUGUUACAUUGUUGUUAUUUGCUUUAAUCCUGCAUUUUACCGUCGGCAAUUCCAUCGUUAUUAUUACUGUUAUUGUUAUUAUUAUUACUAUUGUUAUUACUUUUACUUACUAUUGUUAUUACGAUUUAUUUCGUAUACUUACGUUAUUGUUACUACUACUUACUUUGCUCUCGCAAACGUUCGUUGUUGUUACUUUUGGACCAGGUUUAGAGAAAUCGCACGCACAGCGGAACUGGACCGCUUAAGCCAGAAACAGUAAAGUAACAAUAGCCAAAUGCCUCGUCAUCUAAUUAGUGACGCGUAUGAAUGGAUCAACAAGAUUCCUUCUGUCCCUAUCUACUAUCUAGCGAAACCACAGCCAAGGGAACGGGCUUGGCAAAAUCAGCGGGGAAAGAAGACCCUGUUGAGCUUGACUCUAGUCUGACUCUGUGAA
rnacentral:ncRNA from 1 species